rnacentral:lncRNA from 1 species
GAAAAGUUUCAACUUAUUGAAUUUGACACUCGAAUUUGACUAGAAGUUUAUAUUUUCAAGCACGACCUAUUGUAAUGAGAAUUUAUCAUAUAUAGCCAAUAUUUACACUCUACUUUCGUAAAUAUCAGUUUUUAUAAAAACUAUCAAAUAUAUCCAAAAUUUCAUUGUAAUAGACUUUAAUACCCUCAAGUGGUUCGGUGACAGCAAUCAUGUUGUGAGUUUGAAUGAAAAUGAAUUCCAACGAUUUUAGGUGUUGUGUAAUUUGAUUUUAAUUUGUAGGGUAGUUUGGUCUAUUUAAAGCAUGUUUUAUGCUAUGAUUGAUAGUUUUUAUAAAAACUGACAUUUGUGAAAUUAAGGGUUAAAUAUUGGUUAUAUACGAGAAAUUCCCUAUUGUAAUACUCUAAUUUAAAACGUGGAAAUGAUGUGAUAAAUGGCAUACUAUAAUCAGAACUUUUCAAAAACUUGUUAACACCUUUUCUUUUUUGGUCGGAGAAAACUUUGUAUGCAUGAGCAAUAGGAGAUCGUACGUCCGCCCACGCAAAAGUUCAAAAUUUUCGAAAAACUUGUAAAUUUUAGGAAUUAAAUUAUGAUUCUAAAAAUCUAAGAUAGUUGAUCAGUUUCCAAUAUUCGUGAUUUCUGAACUUGGAAAAUAAUUUGAUUCUAUAGAGGCAUAGAGGCAUUGGAAGACAUCACAUCAAAAUGUAUAAGAUAAAAAGGAUACAAAGCAGCAACUUUAUUUGCAUUCAAACUAAUUGGUGCGAUUUACGGAUUUAGCAAGCGCACGAUGUUUACAAAAAUUCUUAGAUAAUUUAUUUAAUGUAAAAUCUCACAAAAGAUAGUUGAAAAUAAACAGACGAACAAAUGAAAUAUGAACAUUAUUUAAUUAACAGAAAAAUAAAUACACUAAAUUGUCGGAACGGCUACAAACCAUAGUUCUAAAAGUCUCCACCU